rnacentral:rRNA from 1 species
AUUGAACGCUGGCGGCAUGCUUUAUACAUGCAAGUCGAACGGCAGCGCGGGCUUCGGCCUGGCGGCGAGUGGCGAACGGGUGAGUAAUACAUCGGAACGUGCCCAGUAGUGGGGGAUAGCUCGGCGAAAGCCGGAUUAAUACCGCAUACGACCUGAUGGUGAAAGCGGGGGAUCUUCGGACCUCGCGCUCUUGGAGCGGGCGAUGGCAGAUUAGCUAGUUGGUGGGGUAAAGGCCUACCAAGGCGACGAUCGGUAGCUGGUCUGAGAGGACGACCAGCCAGACUGGGACUGAGGCACGGCCCAGACUCCUACGGGAGGCAGCAGUGGGGAAUUUUGGAGAAUGGACGAAAGCCUGAUCCAGCAAUGCCGCGUGUGUGAUGAAGGCCUUCGGGUUGGAAAGCACUUUUGGCGGGAACGAAAAGGACUGUGCUAAUACCACGGUUCGAUGACGGUACCCGCAGAAUAAGCACCGGCUAACUACGUG